AAGGUAAAAAUUAUGGGUCUGAAGAGAAAGAGCCGAGGUGUUUUUCGAUUUGAGAAAGAUCAGAGAGUGAGAGGGGAAUGGCUACCCGGGUAAUACCCUCCCCCCUGCGACUUUCAAGCAAAGGGAACUGGCCAGCCACCUGAAUUCGGUUGCUGGAGGUCACGGGGGCCAGAGAUUCGGCAGAGAGCGCACAGGAGCAGGCGGGCAGUUAGAGGUCU